rnacentral:rRNA from 1 species
GCUACCUGAUUCAGCGGCGGACGGGUGAGUAAUGCCUAGGAAUCUGCCCGAUAGUGGGGGACAACGUUUCGAAAGGAACGCUAAUACCGCAUACGUCCUACGGGAGAAAGUGGGGGAUCUUCGGACCUCACGCUAUCGGAUGAGCCUAGGUCGGAUUAGCUAGUUGGUGAGGUAAUGGCUCACCAAGGCGACGAUCCGUAACUGGUCUGAGAGGAUGAUCAGUCACACUGGAACUGAGACACGGUCCAGACUCCUACGGGAGGCAGCAGUGGGGAAUAUUGGACAAUGGGCGAAAGCCUGAUCCAGCCAUGCCGCGUGUGUGAAGAAGGUCUUCGGAUUGUAAAGCACUUUAAGUUGGGAGGAAGGGCAGUAAGCUAAUACCUUGCUGUUUUGACGUUACCAACAGAAUAAGCACCGGCUAACUUCGUGCCAGCAGCCGCGGUAAUACGAAGGGUGCAAGCGUUAAUCGGAAUUACUGGGCGUAAAGCGCGCGUAGGUGGUUCAGCAAGUUGGAUGUGAAAUCCACGGGCUCAACCUGGGAACUGCAUCCAAAACUACUGAGCUAGAGUACGGUAGAGGGUGGUGGAAUUUCCUGUGUAG